rnacentral:lncRNA from 1 species
GUUGAAGGACUGUGAGGAGGGGAGGUCUGUUGAAGGACUGUGAGGAGUGGAGGUCUGUUGAAGGACUGUGAGGAGGGGAGGUCUGUUGAAGGACUGUGAGGAGUGGAGGUCUGUUGAAGGACUGUGAGGAGGGGAGGUCUGUUGAAGGACUGUGAGGAGGGGAGGUCUGUGAGGAGGGGAGGUCUGUUGAAGGACUGUGAGGAGGGGAGGUCUGUUGAAGGACUGUGAGGAGGGGAGGUCUGUUGAAGGACUGUGAGGAGGGGAGGUCUGUUGAAGGACUGUGAGGAGGGGAGGUCUGUUGAAGGACUGUGAGGAGGGGAGGUCUGUUGAAGGGCUGUGAGGAGGGGAGGUCUGUUGAAGGACUGUGAGGAGUGGAGGUCUGUUGAAGGACUGUGAGGAGGGAAGGACUGUGAGGAGGGGAGGUCUGUUGGAGGACUGGUGUGUGGCCGGCAGCGAGUUGCCACAUCGUCAUCCUCAGCACAGGCAUCUUCUUCAUCACCUCAGAGUGUGUGUGUGUGUGUGUGUGUGUGUGUGUGUGUGUGUGUGUGGCUGGGUGGGUGGGUUACAUUCUGAGUGUAAUUUGUCACUAGAUACCCGUCCAAAAUUGUAAUCGGUAACAUAACUGUUGGGAUUACCCAAACUCAGGAACAUAACUGUUGGGAUUACCCAAACUCAGUGACAUAACUGUUGGGAUUACCCAAACUCAGGAACAUAACUGUUGGGAUUACCCAAACUCAGGAACAUAACUGUUGGGAUUACCCAAACUCAGGAACAUA